rfam:Drosophila sechellia strain Rob3c scaffold_5745 genomic scaffold, whole genome shotgun sequence.
CAACCUCAACUCAUAUGGGACUACCCCCUGAAUUUAAGCAUAUUAAUUAGGGGAGGAAAAGAAACUAACAAGGAUUUUCUUAGUAGCGGCGAGCGAAAAGAAAACAGUUCAGCACUAAGUCACUUUGUCUAUAUGGCAAAUGUGAGAUGCAGUGUAUGGAGCGUCAAUAUUCUAGUAUGAGAAAUUAAUGAUUUAAGUCCUUCUUAAAUGAGGCCAUUUACCCAUAGAGGGUGCCAGGCCCGUAUAACGUUAAUGAUUGCUAGAUGAUGUUUCCAAAGAGUCGUGUUGCUUGAUAGUGCAGCACUAAGUGGGUGGUAAACUCCAUCUAAAACUAAAUAUAACCAUGAGACCGAUAGUAAACAAGUACCGUGAGGGAAAGUUGAAAAGAACUCUGAAUAGAGAGUUAAACAGUACGUGAAACUGCUUAGAGGUUAAGCCCGAUGAACCUGAAUAUCCGUUAUGGAAAAUUCAUCAUUAAAAUUGUAAUAUUUAAAUAAUAUUAUUAAGAAUAAUGUGCAUUUUUUCCAUAUAAGGACAUUGUAAUCUAUUAGCAUAUCCCAAAUUUAUCAUAAAAUAUAACUUAUAGUUUAUUCCAAUUAAAUUGCUUGCAUUUUAACACAGAAUAAAUGUUAUUAAUUUGAUAAAGUGCUGAUAGAUUUAUAUUAUUACAGAGCGUUAAUUUUUCGGAAUUAUAUAAUGGCAUAAUUAUCAUUGAUUUUUGUGUUUAUUAUAUGCUCUUGUAUGAUUAACAAUGCGAAAGAUUCAGGAUACCUUCGGGACCCGUCUUGAAACACGGACCAAGGAGUCUAACAUAUGUGCAAGUUAUUGGGAUGUAAACCUAAUAGCGUAAUUAACUUGACUAAUAAUGGGAUUAGUUUUUUAGCUAUUUAUAGCUAAUUAACACAAUCCCGGGGCGUUCUAUAUAGUUAUGUAUAAUGUAUAUUUAUAUUAUUUAUGCCUCUAACUGGAACGUACCUUGAGCAUAUAUGGCUGUGACCCGGAAAGAUGGUGAACUAUACUUGAUCAGGUUGAAGUCAGGGGAAACCCUGAUGGAAGACCGAAACAGUUCUGACGUGCAAAUCGAUUGUCAGAAUUGAGUAUAGGGGCGAAAGACCAAUCGAACCAUCUAGUAGCUGGUUCCUUCCGAAGUUUCCCUCAGGAUAGCUGGUGCAUUUUAAUAUUAUAUAAAAUAAUCUUAUCUGGUAAAGCGAAUGAUUAGAGGCCUUAGGGUCGAAACGAUCUUAACCUAUUCUCAAACUUUAAAUGGGUAAGAACCUUAACUUUCUUGAUAUGAAGUUCAAGGUUAUGAUAUAAUGUGCCCAGUGGGCCACUUUUGGUAAGCAGAACUGGCGCUGUGGGAUGAACCAAACGUAAUGUUACGGUGCCCAAAUUAACAACUCAUGCAGAUACCAUGAAAGGCGUUGGUUGCUUAAAACAGCAGGACGGUGAUCAUGGAAGUCGAAAUCCGCUAAGGAGUGUGUAACAACUCACCUGCCGAAGCAACUAGCCCUUAAAAUGGAUGGCGCUUAAGUUGUAUACCUAUACAUUACCGCUAAAGUAGAUGAUUUAUAUUACUUGUGAUAUAAAUUUUGAAACUUUAGUGAGUAGGAAGGUACAAUGGUAUGCGUAGAAGUGUUUGGCGUAAGCCUGCAUGGAGCUGCCAUUGGUACAGAUCUUGGUGGUAGUAGCAAAUAAUCGAAUGAGACCUUGGAGGACUGAAGUGGAGAAGGGUUUCGUGUGAACAGUGGUUGAUCACGAGUUAGUCGGUCCUAAGUUCAAGGCGAAAGCCGAAAAUUUCAAGUAAAACA